AUUGAACGCUGGCGGCAGGCCUAACACAUGCAAGUCGAGCGAGCGGCGGACGGGUGAGUAAUGUCUGGGAAACUGCCUGAUGUCGGGGGAUAACUACUGGAAACGGUAGCUAAUACCGCAUACCAUCAAAUUAGCCCAGAUGGGAGUAGUUAGUGGGUGGGGUAACGGCUCACCUAGGCGACGAGCCCUAGCUGGACUGAGAGGAUGACCAGCCACCCUGGAACUGAGACACGGUCCCGAGUCCUACGGGAGGCAGCAGUGGGGAAUAUUGCACAAUGGGCGCAAGCCUGAUGCAGCCAUGCCGCGUGUGUGAAGAAGGCCUUCGGGUUGUAAAGCACUUUCAGCGGGGAGGCGUUACCCGCAGAAGAAGCACCGGCUAACUCCGUGCCAGCCGCCGCGGUAAUAC
rnacentral:rRNA from 1 species